rnacentral:rRNA from 1 species
UACGUAGGGUGCGAGCGUUGUCCGGAAUUAUUGGGCGUAAAGGGCUCGUAGGCGGUUUGUCGCGUCGGGAGUGAAAACCUUGGGCUUAACUCAGGGCCUGCUUUCGAUACGGGCAGACUAGAGGUAUGCAGGGGAGAACGGAAUUCCCGGUGUAGAGGUGAAAUUCGUAGAUAUCGGGAGGAACACCGGCGGCGAAGGCGGCGACCUGGGUCGAUACUGACGCUGAGGCGCGAAAGCGUGGGGAGCAAACAGG